GUGGUCGAAGCAUUUAUCAGGAUGAUGUUCAGGUUGUGACCCUGAGGAAACGGGUUCAAUUCCCGUCGAUCACC
rnacentral:tRNA from 1 species